rnacentral:precursor_RNA from 1 species
AGGGCAUGUAGGGUUCGCCACAAGGUUGAAGUAUUAUUUUGGCAACCCCCCAUGCCACCA